GGUCGGAUAGUGUAAAGGUGAUCACAUCGGAUUCUGAUUGUACCUAUUUUCCGGGAAUCUGGGUUCGAGUCCCAGUCCGACCU